rnacentral:rRNA from 1 species
UGCCUGGUAGUGGGGGACAACGUUUCGAAAGGAACGCUAAUACCGCAUACGUCCUACGGGAGAAAGCAGGGGACCUUCGGGCCUUGCGCUAUCAGAUGAGCCUAGGUCGGAUUAGCUAGUUGGUGGGGUAAUGGCUCACCAAGGCGACGAUCCGUAACUGGUCUGAGAGGAUGAUCAGUCACACUGGAACUGAGACACGGUCCAGACUCCUACGGGAGGCAGCAGUGGGGAAUAUUGGACAAUGGGCGAAAGCCUGAUCCAGCCAUGCCGCGUGUGUGAAGAAGGUCUUCGGAUUGUAAAGCACUUUAAGUUGGGAGGAAGGGCAGUAAGCUAAUACCUUGCUGUUUUGACGUUACCGACAGAAUAAGCACCGGCUAACUCUGUGCCAGCAGCCGCGGUAAUACAGAGGGUGCAAGCGUUAAUCGGAAUUACUGGGCGUAAAGCGCGCGUAGGUGGUUCGUUAAGUUGGAUGUGAAAGCCCCGGGCUCAACCUGGGAACUGCAUCCAAAACUGGCGAGCUAGAGUACGGUAGAGGGUGGUGGAAUUUCCUGUGUAGCGGUGAAAUGCGUAGAUAUAGGA